GACGAACCGUGCGAACGUUAUUCGGAAUCACUGGGCUUAAAGCGCGUGUAGGCGGGACGGCACGUCUGUCGCUGAAAUCCCCCGGCUUAACCGGGGAACUGGCGGAGAUACGACCGUCCUGGAGGGGCGUAGGGGGACCUGGAACUUCCGGUGGAGCGGUGAAAUGCGUAGAGAUCCGGAGGAACACCAGAGGCGAAGGCGGCGCGCUGGGCUGCACCUGACGCUGAACCACGAAAGCCAGGGUAGCGAACGGG
rnacentral:rRNA from 1 species